rnacentral:tRNA from 1 species
GUUUAGCGGUUAAAAUACCUGGCUAGAAACCAGGAGACUGUGAGUUCUAGUCCCAC